rfam:Pannonibacter phragmitetus strain 31801, complete genome.
UGCCGGGUUUCCACAUCCCGGGGUUACUGAAGAGGCACUUGUUACUUCAUUGCCGGCCGUGCGGAGCGAUCCCCGUUCCAAGCCAAGGCAUCCCAUAAAGGGACAGUGUGCGGCCCCCGCUGUGCGCUCGACCGAUCGUCACCUCUU